CAAAGGAAUUGACGGGGGCCCGCACAAGCGGUGGAGCAUGUGGUUUAAUUCGAUGCUACGCGAAAAACCUUACCUGGGCUUGACAUCCCGGGCUACCCUGGGAAACCAGGGGUUCUCUUCGGAGACCCGGUGACAGGUGCUGCAUGGCUGUCGUCAGCUCGUGUUGUGAGAUGUUGGGUUAAGUCCCGCAACGUGCGCAACCCCUGUCGUUAGUUACCAGCAUUUAGUUGGGCACUCUAACGAGACCGCUAGGCUAUAAGCCAGAGGAAGGUGGGGAUGACGUCAAGUCCUCAUGGCCUUUAUGUCCAGGGCUACACACGUGCUACAAUGGGAGAUACAAUUCGUUGCUACUUCGCAAGAAGAUGCUAAUCGCAAAAAGUCUCCCUCAGUUCGGAUUGGAGUCUGCAACUCGACUCCAUGAAGUUGGAAUCGCUAGUAAUCGUGGAUCAGCACGCCACGGUGAAUACGUUCCCGGGCCUUGUACACACCGCCCGUCACACCAUGGAAGUUGGUUGUACCGGAAAACGUUGAGCUAACCUUCGGGAGGCAGGCGUUUAUGG
rnacentral:rRNA from 1 species